rnacentral:rRNA from 1 species
UACGUAGGCAGCGAGCGUUGUUCGGAAUUACUGGGCGUAAAGAGUGUGUAGGCGGUGCUCUAAGUUCGGGUGUGAAAUCUCCUGGCUCAACUGGGAGGGUGCGCCGGAAACUGGAGUGCUUGAGCGUGGGAGAGGAGAGUGGAAUUCCUGGUGUAGCGGUGAAAUGCGCAGAUAUCAGGAAGAACACCCGUGGCUAAGGCGGCUCUCUAGUACGGUACUGACGCUGAGACGCGAAAGCGUGGGGAGCGAACAGG